rnacentral:rRNA from 1 species
CUACGGGGUGCUGCAGUGAGGAAUAUUGCACAAUGGGGGGAACCCUGAUGCAGCAACGCCGCGUGGAGGAUGACGCAUUUCGGUGUGUAAACUCCUUUUAUAUGGCAAGAAAAUGACGGUAGCAUAUGAAUAAGCACCGGCUAACUCCGCGCCAGCAGCCGCGGUAAUACGGAGGGUGCAAGCGUUACUCGGAAUCACUGGGCGUAAAGGACGCGUAGGCGGGUUGGAAAGUCAGGUGUGAAAUCCUACAGCUUAACUGUAGAACUGCACUUGAAACUUCUAAUCUAGAGUAUGGGAGGGGGAGAUGGAAUUAGUGGUGUAGGGGUAAAAUCCGUAGAUAUCACUAGGAAUACCUAAAGCGAAGGCGAUCUCCUGGAACAUUACUGACGCUAAGGCGUGAAAGCGUGGGGAGCAAACAGGAUUAGAUACCCCAGUAGUC